AAACCAGGCAAUCGCGGGCGAGCGCCGAAAGGCUCCGUCCGAGGAAAGUCCGGGCUUCACAGAGCGAGGAUAACGGCUAACGGCCGCCGGGGGCGACCCCAGGGAAAGUGCAACAGAAAAUGACCGCGAAUCGUCGGCGACGACGACGCAAGGAUGGAAAGGUGAGGUAAGAGCUCACCGGGGUGGCGGAGACGUCACCGCCGUGUAAACCCUAUCCGAAGCAACACCGCGGAGGGACAUGAUGCUUGCUCGGCAGUCCCGUGGAGGUGGCACCGAGCCGCUGCGGCAACGCGCGGCCAAGAUAGAUGAUUGCCUAAUACAGAACCCGGCUUAUAGAUUUACUCG
rnacentral:RNase_P_RNA from 1 species